rnacentral:lncRNA from 1 species
GAGCGGUUCCACGAUGCCCGGUUCCCUGUCAUCCUGGACUCCAACAUUCUGCAACUGUGAGUCAAAACAAACAUUCCUGCGGCCCAGCAAGAUGAUUCAGUGGUUAAAGACACCUGUUCCACAAGACUGGCAACCUUGGUUCAAUCUUUGGAACAACUUCAAGGGAACCGUUGGAGGGCUCCUGCACGGUUUGCUGAUGCUAUUUGAUGGACGUGUAUUCUACCAGGAUAUAUGCAAACAUACCCUGCCUCAGCACCUUCUAGUCAUUUCCUCUGUCUGAGGUUGAUUGAUUAAAGUUCCGGGAAGUAAAGAGGAGAGAAAGGUAAAUUGUCCUGAGAGCCAAAUGCCUAGGAAGGACCAAAGGCAGUAGUGGUAACACCCUUAAAGCCCUGGAUGAGGGCUCCUAGCACCACCAAUCACUCUUUAGCUGCUGAAGAAUUAAAGUCCUGGGAUAAGGGCUCUAUCUUAGUUAGCAUUUUACUGCUGUGAACAGACACUGUUACCAAGGACAACAUUUAAUUGGGGCUGGCUUACAGUUUCAGAGGUUCAGUCCAGUAACAUCAAGGUGGGAUACAUGGCAGCAUCCAGGCAGGCAUGGUGCAGGAGGAGCUGAGAGUUCUACAUCUUCAUCUGUUAGGAGAAAACUGAGUUCUAGUCAGCUAGGAAGAGGGUCUUUUUUUUUAAAUAUGUUUUGAUAGCACAAUGUUUCUUUCUUUUUUUUCUUUUUCUUUUCCAUCUUUAUUAAAUUGGGUAUUUCUUAUUUACAUUUCAAAUGUUAUUCCCUUUCCCGGUUUCCAUGGCAACAUCCGCCUAGCCCCUCCCCCUCCCAUUCUAUAUGGGUGGUCUCCCUCCCAAUCCUUCCCCCAUUACUGCCACCCAGGGCUUAGGAAGAGGGUCUUAAAGCCCACACCCAUAGUGACACACCCACUCCAACAAGGCCACACCUCCUACUAGUGCCACUGUCUGCGUCAAGCAUAUCUGAACCGUCACACAGGCUCCCACCACCACCAAUUGUUGUCGAG